GCACACUGGGCGGCACCGGCCGCAGGGACCACGAGGAGCGGGAGCGGGCGCGCCAGCUCGCCGCGCUCGUGCGCAAGUACAGACAGAAGCGCGAGCUGAAGCAGGACUUCACGAUCCACGUGUGACCCUGGUGGACCGUGGACCUGACCCACCUGUCCACGUCCUCUCUCCGUCGCCUCCUCUCUCGGCAGUGACCGCGCAACGCGUCGCAAUCGCCAUGCCCCGAAGGCAGCCAUCGCACUGUUGACUGAUUCCGAGUCGGUUUGUCUCUCUCGCACCCUCGCAGGGCGCGCCAUGAGUGCGAAAGAGAGGGAGAGAGACCUCCCGCUCGGAAUGAGUCCGCCGCGACCGCGCCGCCGCCAUCCCGAAGCCCCCGGCUGAAACCAAUACGCGGUUUUUCAUGAGACUGCACCUUUUACACGACUUCUGUGAUAACAGCAGCCACACUGUGGCUGCGACCGGCGGAGGCUAGCCGUCAAGGUCUUCGCCGGCCUUUUACUAUUUUCUCCAGAGUGCAACCGUUCUGUGAUGUGGUAGAGACUUUUUUAUUUUUGUACAGUUCUAUGUCGAUAUAUCGUGGCGAAUAUCGCGCCUAUACGCAGCGUUGGAUUGUGGAGAGGCCUGUUACUGUCAGAUUGUUUUAUGUCGAGAGCGCUAGUCGUUUCGUUGUUGUGUAGUUGAAUAUUAUCUGAUUGUUGUCUUUGUGUGUUGGGCUCACAGAGUUUAGUAGUGGGAGAAUGAGUGUACGCUGUGUAUGAUUCUGUUGCUGAUGCUGAUCAUUGUCUGAUCCGUACAUAAUACGUAUUUUAUUAAUACUGUAUUUGUUAGUCUUUAUACUAAAUGGAAAUAGGUUUAAGUCGGCAAACUGGCAUGCAGUUGCAGGGACGUUGUUUCUCUGUGGCCUUGCCUCCAGGCGACACCCGUUUCCUUUCCUUCUAGUUUGUAUUGUCGAUUAUGUUCGAUGCCAGGGGGCAACAAAAAAGUCCAAAUGAUGUAAACAUGACCACAAAAUGAACGAUUUUAGUCAAAUUUUAGUCCAUUUUGAUGGCGUAAUGACAUCAUUUGAUGUCGUGGUGACCAGAUUUUGACUAACUGUUCUCCUUGGGACUGUGUGGCUGUCUCCUCGUCUUGUUCUUGAUUGUUGAUGUUAACCGUCCCUCUCCGUGCCUUUCUCGGAAACGCCCUGGGGCCUCGUGCCAACCAUUCCAAGUCGGCUGUAUUGAAAGUGCAUUUUCACUCAGACAAAUAAAAUACCAUUUUUUAAA